CAGAACUGAAUCUAUUUUACUACUACUAGUCCUACUACUAGUACUACUAUUACUACUAUUACUCCUACUACUACUACUAUAUGUACUCCUGCUACUACUAGUAAUAGUACUACUACCACUGAGAGCUCAGGCUAUUAAUAACUCUCCAGACUCGUGAUAAACCAGAAGUGAAUCUGGAGUUUCCCAGAAGUUCUGCUGCUGCUCUGAAACAGGAAAUGACAGGAAGUGACAUCAUGGCGUGCUCUGUUCUUGUAUUCUUGUGAGGACCGUCACUGGUCAGCUGAUGAACUAAUAUGUGUUUAUCUUUACUGCUGGCUAGAUCUUCUGUAAUUAGAACUCUUUGACGUUCUAAACAAACGUUUCAGGAACGCUUUGCCGUUCUUCUUGUUUUAUUGAAUCACACAUUAUAAAUUAGAGCAACUAAUAAGAAAGAAUUUACACAUUAAACCCUGUAAACAAAGAGUCCUUAAAAUGUGUGUUCUCUCAGGUUUUUAUACCUUUUCUGUAUUCAAGGAAGUUUAUCAUGUUUAUUACAGAUUUCUUUCAGGAUUUAACACAUACUGUGAAAUAUUUUAUAGUAUUUUUUCUGUGUUUUAUUCAACUAUUCAUCAUUUAUUAUAACAUGUCUGCAGGUUUGGGGGUUCAGAGGGUUCCAAUACAGACUAAAUGAGUAUUGUAUCCAGAGGAAGGCUAACAUGCUAACAGGCUACCAUGCUAACAGACUAACAGGCCAACUGCUAACAGACUAACCGGCCAACUGCUAACAGGCUAACAUGCUAACAUGCUAACAGGCUGACAUGCACUGACUCUGGUCCUCACAAAGACAGGAAACCUGGGACACCAUCAGUAGACUUUCCGUGGCUGGUUUCCCAGAAUGCAUCAGUCCUUCACGUCCAACUCAAACAAAGAGCGGCGGACCUUCAUCCUCCUUCAUCUUCCUUCAUCUUCCUCUGCAGCUCAGACAGGAAACAGCCAGGAAGGUGUCAGACAUCCUGACAGCCAGUAAAUGGAACAACAGGAGAUCUGUCCUGAUCAUGACCUUUACCAGGAUCAUCUCUGACGUUCUAUGAGGUUCUCUCGUUCCAUCGUCCUGCCUGGACAUGUGGAACCCGUCAGCACUCUGCUCUGCAGGUAUUUAUGGAGGAACCCUUCCAGAGUUUAUGUUCCAGCAGAGUGAAGCUGAAACAAGCUGCAGCAGAAAAUGAAAGCAGACGUCCGUCCAGCUUCCUGUUUCUGGGGAAUUCUGCCUCUCAGUGAGUCAUGAAGCAGCUUCCUGUGGAUUCCUGCCGUCUGACUCACCGGCUUCUCCUCUUCAGGCUGAUCACAACUCUAGCUGACAGACUCUUCAUGGUCCUCCGGUUAUUAAUCCUGUUUCUGUUGGACCUCCAGAAGAAACACAAUGUGGAAUCUUUAUAAUCUGGACCGUCAUAGUUCAGACUCACCUCUUUAAAAACACUUGGAUUAAAUAAUUAUCAUUUUAGAAAAAAGUCAGACUGAAUUAAUCUCCUGAUAAUCUGACUGAUUUAUUAAAAAGGUUGUUAGUUAUUUAUCAUUUUAACUUUACUUCUGAAGCGUGAAAUAUUAAAAAAGUUGACAUUUUCCCUCACAGACACCAGCUGGACUUCAUUCUUUAAGAACCUUUUAAUUUACUUUGGAGAUCCAGUUUAGAACAGAAGAGACAGAAACUAACCAAAAC
ensembl:lncRNA